AGUUUAUCUGGACGUUGUGCCCUAUUAUGAGCUCAACUCUGAAGCAGAUGUAGCAACAAAUUUCUUGGCCAUUGACAGCUUCUGCUUUUCUUUAAAUGCCUUGAGGAGAAACAACCUGUUUCAGACAUACAAAGAGAAGUCAGAAAAGACAGAUCUGCAGUCACAACCAACCUGAAGUUGUUCCCUGUGAAAAGCUCUGCUACACUUUUCCAAUUAUAUUUUGAGCCUCCCAAGUGAGAAAUCCUUCUCCUGUACUACUAGAGGACAGCUUCCCAAUUUAAUAAACACACUGUCAGGAAAACUUCUCCAGAGAAUUUAUCAGGACUCAUCCGCACUGUUUCGUUUUUCUCUCACUGAUGGUCACGCUGGUUCUCAUUGAAGACCCUAUGGCCAGUCAAG